rnacentral:rRNA from 1 species
UACGUAGGGGGCAAGCGUUGUCCGGAAUCAUUGGGCGUAAAGAGCGCGUAGGCGGCCCGAUAAGUCCGCUGUGAAAGUCAAGGGCUCAACCCUUGAAUGCCGGUGGAUACUGUCGGGCUAGAGUCCGGAAGAGGCGAGUGGAAUUCCUGGUGUAGCGGUGAAAUGCGCAGAUAUCAGGAGGAACACCAAUGGCGAAGGCAGCUCGCUGGGACGGUACUGACGCUGAGGAGCGAAAGCGUGGGGAGCAAACAGG